rnacentral:rRNA from 1 species
UACGUAGGGUGCAAGCGUUGUCCGGAAUUAUUGGGCGUAAAGAGCUCGUAGGCGGUUUGUCGCGUCUGCUGUGAAAACCUAAGGCUCAACCUUGGGCUUGCAGUGGGUACGGGCAGACUAGAGUGCGGUAGGGGUGACUGGAAUUCCUGGUGUAGCGGUGGAAUGCGCAGAUAUCAGGAGGAACACCCGAUGGCGAAGGCAGG